ACACAAGUAAGAGGUCAUUAAAAAUUAUAAUAAAAAUUAUGAACAAACUAGACUCAUUUUCCAAACUCUCAGAAGUUACAGAACUUGAUUUGGACAUUUUAUGAUUUUUCUACAAAUUUUCCAAUAACAGUUACAGAAAAUGUUAUUAACAGAAAAACACUAUAAAUUUCAUUUCACCUUGUAACAUGUUGAGCAAGGUAUACAUCAUUAUGUGAUUAUGUGUUGUUGCAAUAUAUGACAAUUUUGUAUUCUUAUAUAGACAUACAUCAGAAAACAAAUGGAUUUUUACCUCCACAAGUAUGGUAAAUAUAUAAAUGAUAUUACAAGGCUAUAUCCAUUAAAAUACAAACAUUGGUAAAUUAUGACAAGUAAGGCUUAUGCUCACUACCCACACAAAUAUUUAAUAAACUAUAAUAGGUAUAGUUUAGGGUUAUUUUACAUAACAAACACAUGAUUAAAGGUUUUACACAUACAAAAGAGUUAUUACCACUAUGGAUAAUUAUGAUAAACUAUAAUAAGUAUAGUUAAGCCAUUAUACCCCCACAAACGAACACGCUAGUUAUAAUCGGUAUAGUUAUGGCAUAUAUAUAUUACAAACAAAGUGAUAAACUAUAAUAGGUAUAGUUUAUGUUUCAUCUACACUAUGAACUUAAUUACAAGAAAGGAAUUCACCAUCACCACCACUUUUGAUAAGCUAUAAUAUGCAUAGUUCAUGUUCACUACCACUAUCACUAUUUGAUGAACUAUGAUAUGUAUAGGUUAUAUUCACCAUCACCACCACUUUUGAUAAGCUAUAAUAUGCAUAGUUCAUGUUCACUACCACUAUCACUAUUUGAUAAACUAUGAUAUGUAUAGGUUAUAUCCACCAUCACCACCACUUUUUGUAAACUAUAAUAUGCAUAGUACAUGUUAACUAGUCACUAUCACUAUCCGAUGAACUAUGAUAUGUAUAGUUUAUGUUCACAGUCACUAUUACUAUUUCGUACACUACACUAGGGUUUGGUUCCGGUUUUUGGAUUUAAGUCCACAUUCAAUUUUCGCAUUGUUAGACUUCAACUAUAAUCGUUGAGCGUAUAUGCUUGAGUCAUACAAGAAUUUAGUCUGGAUUGGCUUAGAAUUGGUGGUGCCCGCCUCAUCUCCUGUUCCUCGUUGGGUUGUGGACCUAGGGCAGACCCACUAUAUUCAACGUUUUAUCUAACUUAAAUCUUAUAUAACUUAUAUACGCUGGACGAUUAUAGGGGAAAUCUACGGGUCAAUCUAGGGUUCAUUAACACAUCAUAUAGGAAUAUUCUGUUUACACUUAACUAAGAAAAUAUUGGAUUUUCUGGAAAUCAAACUCUAUCGAUUUUACAAGGAAAACGGUUUCUACUUCAAACAAAACUCUUAUGAACUCACCAACUUAAUUGUUGACACUUUUUCAAAACUACUUGUAUUCUCAGGAAAUCAGUGAAACAGGAAAACUUCAGCGCUUUGAGGAUGGGACGUUAAACCGUCAACAAUUUAUUUUUGUCAUCAUAAUGUAAUUGAUUUUGAAACAUGUAAACAUAUACUUUGGUGUAACUUUUUCAAUUAUAUUUAUGAUGGUUGUAUUUACUUUGAGCACUAUUAUACACGUUGUUGUGAUACUGUACAUGAAGUCCUCCACCCCCGGACGUUUCCGCCAUCCUUGGUUUGGGGGUGUGACAGAUUGGUAUCAGAGCAUUGUUUAUAGUGAACUCAGUAUAUCGAACCACAUAAGAUAUACAAACUAUAAAUACAUUGGGACUGAAAGUCUCUGAUUUAAAGUUUUCAAAGCAACUAUACUUUUAGAAACAAAUAAUUUCUCGGUAAAAGUAGGAGCAUGUGCACACACACUAGGGUCAGUAUCAUGGUGGGAUGGGACAAAAGUGGUGAUUGUUAAACAAUACGAGUAGGCUUGGGGAUGUAUAGUCAAGUAUGGGAAUGACAUAGCCUGAACAACUAUGUCUCACCCAGAAGUGAUUAGCAUAUGCCCAGGAAUGGUCGUAGGUGUUGCAACAAGUCUAAAAACUUACCAACACUACCACAAUGAAAUACCAUAGGGGUAUUUGGUGUUAUUAUAAUUACUUAUCUGAGAACUAAAUAGAUUUUUAUCAAUAGGUCAAUAAUUGCCUAGUGGAUACAUUAAAAUUAUAUGUAUCCAGGACGUCAUAGACUUAGAAUCUGUGGAUCUUUGCUUUACUUCCUGUUCUCGUUGGAUUGGGGAUUUAGAGUUAGGAUCGCUUAUUCGAAGGUCUAUCCUGUCCCAAAUACAUAUGACUAGUAUGCACUAAACAAUAUAUUGAAGUACCUGAUAAAGAUCAUCUUAUAAUUAUCUAAUUAGUACGUCUACUUAGUUAUUUCUUAUAUCCCCAUUUCUCGCGAAGAUAUNCCCACGACGACCCGUACUACCCCAACCACGACAAAGCUGGAUGGUCCGGAGAGGAGCCAGAGAAUGAUUACCCAAUCCCUGUGGAUGGUCACCAAGUUGAAGGCCUUGCUGACGGUUCCGACUCCGAACCUGAAGUGGAGAACCUACCCCCGAUGACCCUUGUUCCGAAUUCUAACCCUCGUCCGGUUUUUCAAGGGCUGACGCCUCCUUGGGUAGAGUGCUUGGAAACCUGGAGUGAAGAACAAGACCAACCUAGGCUGUUUAAUGGAGACAUUCGAAUCCUUCAGAAUCUGGAGACUACACUAUUCAAGGGAACCGUAGCAUUGUUCAAGAUUUUCCUUACGUUAAUGAGAUGUAGACCUAGUUUCCUCUAACCCUAUAUUACAAACAAUUUACAUAUGGUAACUCCAAUAAAUUCUUAAUAUAUACCAAGUGAUUUUAGGAAGGGAUCAGGCACGAAACAAAUCACAAGUUGCAUUUGAGUCACUACCACUAAAAUUCAUUCAUAGGGGCUUUGUUAUGAAUUACAUACAAAAUACUUUUAAGUCAGAACAUAAUACAGACAAGUCUGGCCUGAUAACAUCUGACUUGUCACUACUAUUAGAAACUUAUCAUCUGUUCGUCUCUACCAACUUAUGACAUGACCAUGCCGCUAAAGAAAAAGUCCAGACCCUCCGACAGCACAACACCGCCCCCUCCGCCACCACCUCCGGAGUUUGAUCCUAUGAUGUUUUAGGCUGCAGUAACAGCAGCCGUGGCGGCAGCAAUGUCGCAAAUGGGUACAAAUGGUUCCGGCGGUUUCGGAUCCGGGAAUACUAACUCGAAUCAGGGGGACAGCACAGGGCGUACUAAGGAGUGUUCUUACAAAGACUUCACGAAUGGCAAACCCGAUCCUUUCGACGGAAGCGGGGGCGUCAUCGCGCUGAUGCAAUGGUUUGAAAGGACCGAAGCAGUCUUCGAAAUCUGUGCUUGUCCCGAAGCGAGCAAGGUCAAGUAUGCGACAUUCACCUUCACAAGAAAAGCUCUUACUUGGUGGAACGGCAGAGUUAAGUCGCUUACUCCUGCAGUGGCUAACUCUAUAAGCUGGGAGGAUUUAAAAGCAUUGAUGCUGAAAGAAUAUUGCCCAAGAGGCGAAGUGCAAAAACUGGAAGAGGAACUCUGGAACCUCAAAAUGUCGGGGACGGAUCUCGAAGCUUAUACUGCCCGAUUCAAUGACCUAGCACUCCUCUGUCCCGCAAUGGUCACCCCAGAGGAGAAAAAGGUAGAACGAUACCUUUGGGGGCUAUCAUCCCAGAUUCACGAUAGUGUAUUGGCCUCAAGACCAACUACCUUCGACAGCGCCAAAGAGUUAGCACAACAACUCAUCGACCAUCGUGCCAGCCAUGACACUACGACAACCACGCCAAUUUUUGUUGUUCAUGCUGCCACAACCCUCACCACACCAACUCCCAUGAAACAAUACGCUGCAACCCUUCCGAAAUGUAACAAGUGUAGCUUCCUUCACACUGGGGCUUGUAGAGAAUUCCAUUGCAUGAACUGCAAUAAGAAGGGGCAUACUACCCGUUUCUGUAGGGCAUCGGUACGACCCAUCAACCAGUUCCCCGACUUUGGAGUAAGCCCAGCCUGUUACAAGUNUGGAGAAACGGGACACUUUAAAAAGGACUGCCCAAGAACAAGAGAUGCCAGUGGUGGUGGAAGGGUGCUUGCGAUCACCGAAGGAGAGACCACCCCGGAACCCGCAAAUAUCAGUACGUGUUUCUAACAUCGACGUUUAAAUUCUAAACUUCUUUAUAUGUUAAAUCUAGCAUCGAUUAAAGCAUGCAUACUAGUAAUGCCAAGGAUUAAACUGAGAGCAUAAACAAUAAGAAAUUCCAAGGACGACAUGUGACAUCAGGCGUGUUAUUCCACACCAUAAUCAAUUUCUUGUAUUGCGAAAAGUUUCCCCCAUAUUUCCUCUGAAUUCUUGGAUCCCCAUUCAAAGUGCAAAUUUCGGGACGAAAUUCCCUCUAACGGGGGGAUGAUGUGACAACCGUCAAAUUCUGGUCAAUUCAAAGUCAAAUAAAGCCAAGAAGUCAAACCGGUCAACUCAACUAACCCUUGUGUACUAGGGCUUACAUUCUGUAAUUACUAAACAACUCGCUAUUCUAAUGAGAGAUCAUAAAUCGAAAAGCACGUACAUCUAGAUCUCCUUAACCUAAAACUGUGGUAAGUGACGAAGCAAACCGAUAAAACAAUGUUGCAUACUCCACGAUAGUGUGUAAGAUCCUUAAACAAGGAUUAACGGAGUUUACGGACCUUGCAUUGCGAAGCCGGACACUCACAUUUGUCACACACGAAACCGCUCUCAAUCGUUUUCACUCUAUCUCUUCUUAUCGAGAAUCUCUCCCAAAUCUCUCCAAGUAUGAGAAAUCUCUCCCAAAUAUCUCUUUGUAUGUGAAAUCUCUCCAAGAAUGUCAAAUCUCUCCCAAAUCUCUCUAAGAAUGUGAAAUCUCUCCCAAAUAUCUCUUUGUAUGUGAAAUCUCUCCAAGAAUGUCAAAUCUCUCCCAAAUCUCUCUAAGUAUGUGAAAUCUCUCCCAAAUAUCUCUUUGUAUGUGAAAUCUCUCCAAGAAUGUCAAAUCUCUCCCAAAUCUCUCUAAGAAUGUGAAAUCUCUCCCAAAUAUCUCUUUGUAUGUGAAAUCUCUCCAAGAAUGUCAAAUCUCUCCCAAAUCUCUCCAAGAAUGUGAAAUCUCUCCCAAAUAUCUCUUUGUAUGUGAAAUCUCUCCAAGAAUGUCAAAUCUCUCCCAAAUCUCUCCAAGAAUGUGAAAUCUCUCCCAAAUAUCUCUUUGUAUGAGAAAUCUCUCCAAGAAUGUGAAAUCUCUCCCAAAUCUCUCUCAAAAGUUUCCGUAACUUUUUGAAGUCGUUCGGGUCAUUCCGACCCUUAACCGGGUAAAAAACGGCUUAAAACGGGGUAAAAACGAGUAAAAUAGGCUUGAGGACCCGAAACUCCUCUUAAGGACCCGAAACCCCUCUUAGGGCCGAAAGUCCUCUUAGAACCGAAGGUCCCUAUAGGGACCGAACCUGCUAUGAACCGAAGCUGGAAGAGCCGAACCCAAGAGCCUUCUCAGAACCGAACCCGAAAGGUCCUCUUAGGACCGAACCUCGCGCGCACACACCCGAACCCGAAGGUACUGUUCACUUCGGUCUCCUCGCUUCUGACCCUUCGGACCCAGCCUGACCCUCGCUUGCUGAUCUGCUCCGCUUCGCUUCUCGCCCAGCCUCAGGAGGACCGAACCUCGGCAAGGACCGAGAGGUCUCGCUGGGAACCCAUUUUCUACCGGUUUUCGUAUAGUUUUGCGGUUAAGGCCCGUUUUUAAUCGUUUUAACACAGGAUUUUCACCCAAAACUUUAUUUUAACAUAUAAGACCCUUUAAUUAAUGAUNAUUAAAUUAUCACGUUUUUAAGGAUAAAACCUUAUCCAAAAGAGUGGGUGAAGUACAAGAGGUGGAGUGUUGACUUUCCUUUAUUUUAUGACACAAGCAACCACCAUACCUACUCCAUGACUAACCCACACUCCUCCCCACCAUACCUUGUCACUUCCUUGUCCUUUUUACCUCACUCACAAGCCAUCCCCACGUUUUUGAGAGCUGGACACUCAACCUCUCUCCUCAUUUCUUUCACUUGCUUUCAUUUCACAAAAAAAUACAACACAACUUUUCUCUCAAACUUUUUCUCUCUAUUUCAAGACUCCAAGGCUGAUUUUCAAGCUUUAUUCUUCUCUUGGUAAGUAUAAUUCAUCCUCCUUGUAAUUAUUACACUUGAUUCUACUCAAAUCAUUGAUUGUUUACACAAAUAUCGUCAUAUUUUUUGUUAGCUCCUCAAAUCUUCAAGCAUCUCCCAAGUGUUCUUGAGUUGAACACUUCUUUUCUCCAUCAUCCAUCUUCUGAAAUCACUCAAGGUGAGUUCAUACCCCUACAUUUUCAUGUUUUCUCAAGUUUUUAGGGGGGGAAUACAAGUUAAAACACCAAGAACAUAACUAAACUUUUCUAACAGCCUUCAUCAGAAAAGUUCAACUCCAUUCACNGCCUUCAUCGGAAAAGUUCAACUCCAUUCACGGACUGUUUUGGACAACUUAAACAUUUUAGUUUUCAAAACUGUUUUAGGUGCAAGUAGUUCCAAUUCUGAGCUUUAAAAUGACUACUUACAAGUCUCCAUACGAUUUUUCUACAAUUUAUGGUGAUUUUUACAAAAUUGCCUAUCAUUUCAAACAUCAAUCCGGACCAGUCUGUGAUUAUGGACUUUUUCACACAAGUAAGAGGUCAUUAAAAAUUAUAAUAAAAAUUAUGAACAAACUAGACUCAUUUUCCAAACUCUCAGAAGUUACAGAACUUGAUUUGGACAUUUUAUGAUUUUUCUACAAAUUUUCCAAUAACAGUUACAGAAAAUGUUAUUAACAGAAAAACACUAUAAAUUUCAUUUCACCUUGUAACAUGUUGAGCAAGGUAUACAUCAUUAUGUGAUUAUGUGUUGUUGCAAUAUAUGACAAUUUUGUAUUCUUAUAUAGACAUACAUCAGAAAACAAAUGGAUUUUUACCUCCACAAGUAUGGUAAAUAUAUAAAUGAUAUUACAAGGCUAUAUCCAUUAAAAUAUAAACAUUGGUAAAUUAUGACAAGUAAGGCUUAUGCUCACUACCCACACAAAUAUUUAAUAAACUAUAAUAGGUAUAGUUUAGGGUUAUUUUACAUAACAAACACAUUAUUAAAGGUUUUACACAUACAAAAGAGUUAUUACCACUAUGGAUAAUUAUGAUAAACUAUAAUAAGUAUAGUUAAGCC
rnacentral:lncRNA from 1 species